GAUGAACGCUGGCCGCGUGCUUAACACAUGCAAGUCGAACGAAGCACUUAAGAUUGAUUCUUCGGAUGACGUCUUUUGUGCCUUAGUGGCGGACGGGUGAGUAACGCGUGGGUAACCUGCCUCACACAGGGGGAUAACAGUUAGAAAUGACUGCUAAUACCGCAUACCCCGAUAGGAUCGCAUGAUCCAGACGGAAAAGAUUUAUCGGUGUGAGAUGGACCCGCGUCUGAUUAGCUAGUUGGUGAGGUAACGGCCCACCAAGGCGACGAUCAGUAGCCGGCCUGAGAGGGUGAACGGCCACAUUGGGACUGAGACACGGCCCAAACUCCUACGGGAGGCAGCAGUGGGGAAUAUUGCACAAUGGGGGAAACCCUGAUGCAGCGACGCCGCGUGAGUGAAGAAGUAUUUCGGUAUGUAAAGCUCUAUCAGCAGGGAAGAAAAUGACGGUACCUGACGAAGAAGCCCCGGCUAACUACGUG
rnacentral:rRNA from 1 species